rnacentral:misc_RNA from 1 species
AUUGUCUCUCCAGUCUCCACAUCAUUCAGCUGUGCGGCUGAUUCUCGUUUUUGUCAAAGAUAAGUUUUCGACUUUUCGUUAAUUUUGACUUUUUGACUUUAAAUGCCAAUCAAGACUUCGAUUUAUUCUUAGGAGAAAGAAUGAUAUUAUGAGUAUCGUAUUGAGCACUUGUUAUUAAUCGUGCACAAUCUGUGAACCGUUAUUAUGAUGGCUACCGGUGAAUGUUAUUAAUCAUCGAUACUUGCCAAGAAUAGGUAUUUGGAUUCCGGUUAACCUUUGUUUCACAAUGGGGUUGAUAAUUUCAAGAUUUCGGAGAAAGAAAACUUGUAUGGAAGAAUUGGAACUGAUCGAAGAACAAAUUAUCAAAAUAGAAAAAACUAGACAAGUGACUGAAGAAGAACAGAGAAGAGUAAUUGGAAAACUAUUCAUUUAUUCUGUGGGUGCCUAUAUCCUGGCAUUGGCACUAUUCUACUUCUUCUUCUUCCCAGCUACAGUUAGGGCCAGGCUCUUCUAUACUGUUCCUCUCAUCAUAUUUCCAGUAAUUGUUUUUUUAUUGAAGAAGCUGAUCUCAUGGUUUUACAUCCGUCGUAUGGUGAGGCAAAGAGACUUAUUGAUGCAACUGAAAAGUGACAAACGUCAGCUGCUUGAUACAGUGAUGGAGAAGGAGACCUACAAAGUAGCUCGGGUCAUUCUCGAAAAGUUCGCUCCCGACCAGCUGAGGAGCUCCAAGCUGUCAACUCCUGUGAUUGAAAAAUCAAUUAUUCCUGUGAAGAAAGACAUCGUCCCGGUUCCAAAUUCAAACAAAGUAGUCAACUUACCGAUUAAUCCAACCAUCACUGAAAGUGGUUCAGAACUUAGGUAUAGGACACCAACUGUUAGCAUGAGAAAUGCUCAACCAAUCGGAUUUGAGAAUCUCGGUCCAGCGAUGAUGCGUUCACGACCACGACCAGUUUUGCCGCGCGACCCGGGCCUCAUCGAGAGGCUAGUGGACAGCCUGGUGGGAGACGGUCCCAGUCAUCGCUAUGCUCUCAUCUGUUCUAGUUGUCACAGUCAUAACGGCAUGGCUCUGCGAGAAGAGUUUCCAUUCUUAUCGUACAGAUGUUGCUACUGUUUGUUCUACAAUCGGGCAAAGCAGCAGAGACCAGUGCCACCCAAAUUACUAGACAAAGAAAGUUCUGAGAAGAAAGAAGAAGAUGAAUCAACUGCUUCAGAUUCUGGAGAAACAUCCGGAUCAGAUUUCGAGAACAUCAAACCCAAUUCUCAUGAUUUGGAGAAUGAAUCGAUGCUUAUGAAUUCUACAUGAUUAAAGGGAACCUAACAAACUUCAUCUGUAUGGCUUUAGGGUAAGCUAUAGGGCAAAGCUUACGAAUUCUACAAGAUUAAAUGGAACCUGACAAACUUCAUCUGUAUGGCUAUAGGGUGUCGAAAACAACAAAUUUGAUCCAUCGGCGCCGGAACCAGAAAUGGAACCUUCCAAAGAGGAGGAGAAUCCCACUUCCAAGACUGAUAAAGACAUCUAGUUUAUCAUUAAUGAAUUUGAAACAUCGCUCUUUGUUAUUCAUAUUGUCAAUCAACAACUGGUGGCUGACUCUACUUCGAACGGUUUUCAAGCUUUAAAACCGCAAUGAGUUUCAAAAUAGAUUUAAAAAGUGAAUAUAGGCUAUUCAUAAAAACACUUCAAUAAUAUGGGCUACUUUUGUACAAAUUAAUGAAAACAAUAUAAAAACUUUAAAGUAUUUUAACGACUAGUUUCGACCAUAGGUCAUAGGUCAAGUUCAUUUUUAAACUUGAAAAUGAUAUGGUCGAUACCAGCCAUUGAAAUAUUUUUAAGUUAUUCUAACUAAAGUUAUUAACUAAAUAAUUUAGGCUAUUCAUACUAUUUCACUUCACAUUGUAACAAUUAAUGAGUUUCAAGAAUGUUCGUUCCUCUUUUGCUUCAAGAUCUAACACUGGAGGUUUUCAAAAGAUCUGAAAUAAUUUAUUAAUAUUUAUUUUGAUCAUAUAUUUUAAGUGUAUCUCAGAUAUCUUCAAAAUAGCAAAACUCCCUUCUUAAUGGGAAUACUCAGUAUUUUCAUAUUUAUAUUAUGUACAAAGUCUUGUUUAAUGAUCUAGUUUUAUAAAACUAGAUAUAAAUUAUUUAUUGUUUAUUCAUAGUUUUUGGGUGAAUUCUAGUGAUCCAUGUCAAUAUAACUUUGAUGGAUCCCGAAUGUUUCCUUGCAGACUGGUUGUGUAUGUAGAAUCACCUUUCUUUGUGAGAAUUACCUUUCAACCCCAACUAAUGCUCAAUGUUGUAAAGCUGUAGUUUUAAUAAUCCUUAUCAUUCUACUGAAAUUUUCUUAUAGAAAAUAAUAAAAGUUCUAUUCAACUUGGUAUUCAUCAUUCAACAAAUCAUUAUUUUUUGUGGUUGAUUAAUCAGUAAUCAAUUUUAAUCAGUAUUUGGAGUUGAACAUUUUACAAAUUAAUGACAAUUUGUAUUUUUACGUAUGAAAUAUUUAUUUAGAAACUAAAAUUUCAUAAUACAAUGGAAUACCUAGGAAUAAUAAUCUUAUUUGUUAUUUCAUGUUCAUCAUAUUUAUUUGAAAGUAUAAUGAGUGUAAACGGCUUCUUCCCAAUGCAUUUAUAUAGAAAUCAUAGCAAGCGUAAUCAAUAGGCGAUGUAAGUGAUGACGUAAGCCAUUGCUACGACACCAUUUUGGUUUCUAAACAAACCGUUGCUAUGGAGAGAGAGCAUGUUAUUCAACUGGGACUAAAACAUCACCUUACAUUUACGAGUAUAUCAAUGAAAUAAUAGAUUUCUAAGAGUUGAGAAUAUUUUUUUCAAGUUCUACACACUCAAAUCAUCAAUUUCCAGUAUUUAUUCAGAUCGAUUAAAUUUUUUUGGGACAGCCAAAGCAGAAAGUCUCACGAAGUAGAGCUUAUAGUACCAUGUCUGUAGUCUGCUAUGGAAAACCUACCUGUAGAGAAAGUUGAAGUGCAAUUUGAAUUAUUACCUAGAAUUUCAUUAGAUUGUUAUAAAGCUGUAAUUUAAAAAUUCAUAUGAAUAUAUUAUGUUUUUCUAUUGUUUGGUGUAACUGUUAAGGUGCAUACAGACUUUCGCUCUGCUCCGCAACCA